rnacentral:rRNA from 1 species
CGCAACGCGAAGAACCUUACCCAGGCUCGAACGGCAACUGACAUUCGACGAAAGUCGGCUCCCGCAAGGGCAGUUGUCGAGGUGCUGCAUGGCUGUCGUCAGCUCGUGUCGUGAGAUGUUGGGUUAAGUCCCGCAACGAGCGCAACCCUUGUCCUCUGUUGCCAUCACGUUAUGGUGGGCACUCUGAGGAGACUGCCGGUGAUAAACCGGAGGAAGGUGGGGAUGACGUCAAGUCAGCAUGGCCUUUAUGUCUGGGGCUACACACGUGCUACAAUGGCCGGUACAAACCGUUGCGAUCCCGCAAGGGGGAGCUAAUCGGAGAAAACUGGUCUCAGUUCGGAUUGCAGGCUGCAACUCGCCUGCAUGAAGUUGGAAUCGCUAGUAAUCGCGGAUCAGCACGCCGCGGUGAAUACGUUCCCGGGCCUUGUACACACCGCCCGUCACAUCACG